CUUUAAAGCUAAUCAAUGGGCACAAAGCAUUUCGUGGUAAAUACGGUAGUUUCGUCUGUUGUUGUUUCCUGGGCUGCUCCACACGCGCACGCACCUCCUCUCCCCUCUCUGUUUUGGGCGCCUUUUGCGCGCGGGGGAGCCGCUCAGUCGGUAGGAGACUCCGGAAAGUCUUGCAUGCUGCCGACACAGCCCAGCCGGCGUUUGUCAGGAGGUCCAAGUUCAGGAUACGAUUAUCGUUUAUUUUAUUCGUUUCACGCAGACACCUUUCAGGUUAUAGUGAUCACGUCCGCCGGACUCGUGAGCGCGGCCACAGAAGACAGACGCCUGGAAUGACGCGAUGAAACUCCAGUGAGUCCUUGCUAAAGACUGGACAGCAUAUAAGACAUGAAGACAAAUCAUGACAUGCAGAUUAAAAAAUAUGAUUGACAGACACACCAGGACACACAACCUCCUGUAGAUGAAGCUGGAACUUCUUUUUCAGAGAGACAGAUUCCCUGGCUCCUCUUUCUACAUACCUGAUCUGCUUCUAUGUUAGUAUGUUACUAUCAGACUGCAAAUAUGGGAGCAACACCCAAAGGGAGCAGAACUGCAGGCUCCAGAGCUUGCCCAUGAAUCAGAACAAUGGGAAAUGGUCUGUCAGGAUGUUUUUUGACUCCAGUCACACAAACACGCCUGAACAUCUGGAUGUCAAGUGGGCUCCCAUGUUGUCAUUGACCAACCUGCGCAGCAUCUCCAGAGUCAGACUGUUCAGGUUCCUCCUGGGCUUGACACUGAUGUUCCUCAUCAUCAUGGGUUCCUAUAUCCUUCCGUGGGACAGGAAAGGACUUCUGUUCACCCCCACGCCCCUCCAGCUUAGAACUUUGGUUGUUCCGACGAGCACAGCAGCGGUUGAAGUUUCCCCUGAAAAUGAUUUAAUAGACACAAGACUGCUGGUGAAGAUCAUCCGGCACAAAUUGGAUUACGCACCCAGGAAGCUGCCUGAUGAAAAGGACGUCAUUGAAAUGGACUCCCAUUUGUUCUCUGUAAUUCCUCGCCAUUUCCUGCCAAGCCUCAAGAGCCCAUGCUGGUAUGAGGAGUUCUCUGGGGAAGCCAGCACUAAUCCGUACAGGGGGAACCACUUUACUCCUCGCUCAAAGAGUUUCAAAGCUGUGUGUGACCACCUGAGGAUCGAUUUCCACCACCACUUAUACCACAGAGACGGCAAGCAAUUUCGUGUGCGCUGCUUGCCAUACUUUUACAUAAUCGGCCAACCAAAGUGUGGCACUACGGACUUGUUUCAAAGACUGCUGCUGCAUCCAGAGGUCAAGUUCAACACCAUGAAGGAGCCGCACUGGUGGACCAGGAAACGCUUUGGUUUUAUCCAUUUCAAAGAUGGCUUUGUGGAAAGUUUUCCUGUGCAAGACUACCUGGAUCUGUUUGACUUAGCAGCCCACAACAUCCAAGCAGGAAGCAGUGGAAAUCCAUCUGGAGACCACAGCGCACUCCAGCUCAUAACAGGUGAAUCCAGUGCUUCCACUAUGUGGGACAACCAAGCCUGGAGCUAUCUUCACAGCAGCGAAGAGGAUACAGAGCCUGCGUUCCUGACCCAGGACUUUAUCCACACAGUCCAGCCUAGUGCAAAAAUCAUUGUCUUGCUUAGAGAUCCAGUGGAGAGGCUUUAUUCUGACUACCUGUAUUUUACGAUGGCCAACAAGUCAGCAGAAGACUUCCAUCUGAAGGUCGUAGAGUCUGUGCAGUUGUUUCAAUCUUGCCUGUCUGAGAUGACACUUCGUUUUUGCGCUUACGACACAAGCCUCUACUACGCGAUGCCGGUGAGGCUGACUUUAGGAAUGUACAUUGUCUUCUUAUUGGACUGGCUGACAGUUUUUCACCGUGAGCAGAUUCUAGUUCUGCGACUUGAAGACUAUGCAGCCAACCUUAAAGGGACAUUCAAGAAAGUUUUUGACUUUCUGAGUCUAGGUCCUCUGUCGGAGCAGGUUGAGGCAGCACUGACCAAAGGUCCCUCGUCUAACACUCGGCGGGCAGCAGACAGGAGCCUGGGUCCUAUGCUUCCAGCCACCAGAGAUCUGCUCAGGGAAUUUCAUCAGCCCUUCAACCACAAACUUGCCAGUGUGCUGGACAAAAAGGUUUUUCUCUGGAGUGACGGGGUGUGAGCAUGGACAAAAUGUGGGGUGUGAGCAUGGACAAAAUGUGGAUGGAUUGGAAUCAGAAUCAGAAUAAUUUUUAAUUACCACGUGACUGUGAUCAGGGAAUUUGCUUUUGGCGAUGCAUGGUGGGAAAGAUCAAUUCAACAGAGUCAAAAACUCCAAAUUUGUUCAGAUGUGAGCGUCAAUUUAGAAAUUCAACAUCACAUUAAAUAUUAGAAACAACUAGCACAGCAGCAGACAUUAUGUACCCGACUAACACAAAAGAAGUCAGAGAUGUGUCGAGACAAAAUUCACAAAAAGUUUUCAUCAGAAAGUGUUAGAGAGAAGGAAAAAAUAUGGUUUUAUAUAUAUAUUGGUGGGCAGGGACUGUUAGCACCUCCCAGAGAGCAUUAGCUGAAAGACGUGAAGGACAGAGUGAGGUGGGGGUCAGACAUUUUUUCUUUUGCUGUAGAGGAAAAAAACUGAUGGGAGGAGGGUGCCAGUAAUCUGGGAUUAUUUCUUUACUAUGUUCUGCAGUUGUUUGUGUUUUGGGUUUAGGGGAGUGGGACUGUGAGUGAAAUCUAUAGCAUUAGAAUGUAGAUGUGUUGAGUUGGAUGUUGUUGCCAAAGCACCAGUUGACUGCUAGGGCUACAGUACCUCCUCAAGCUAUUGGCCUUGGUUGUUAUUUUUUAGUCCAAUUAUGGUUGUGUCAUCUGCAUAUGUAAGAAUUGUGACUGAGCUGUGGAGGGAUGUCAAGUGGUUUGUGUAGAGGGAGAAGAGCCAGGGUGAGAGGACACAGACCUGGGUGACGCCUCUGCCGUGCGUCAGAGGUUGGGAUAAAAGGCUAUUUACCUCAAACCUCUGUUGACUACCCUACAGGAAGCUGCGGCUCCAGUAGCAUAUGCAGGGAUCAGUGUUCAUGUCUACCGGUUUACUGAAGAAAUUAAUUUUGGGUGACUCAAGUUGUCGUCCUAUGUGAACAACCAGAUCAAGAAGCUAAAGCAGGAAUGCCUAUUGAAAGAAACUAAUCUAGAGUGGAAGAACUCACACACAGGUGCAUAGUUGUAUAUGGAUUUAUAUAGAAUGUAUGGGCUUGGGUGUGUGAUAUAUAUGUGAGUGACUCAUCAAAAUCAAAUGACGAUUAAGUCAAAUGAACUUCGGUUUUAAUUUGAUUAUUUUGCAGUGUUGAUUGAACUUCUAAAUUGUUGAUUUUAUUUUCAUUGUGUUAUGCUCUGUGUGUAUGUGAGGGACAAUCAAGCAUCACAAAGAGGGAAGGCAUAAAGCCAGGAAGGGCUGACCAUACAUUCUAUGGGGCUGUGACAGUGGGUUUUGUUGUGUGCUGGGAGGCCUACAGUUUGAUCGUGUUACUUCAUGUCACUACGUGUUCCUAGUGUUACUGAGAAUAAUCAAAUAAUCAAGUUGUAUGAACCUGGAUCUAAAUAUUUGUUAAUAAAUCAAAGAAUCGCAAUGGCGUGGUGAACGUUAUUCUUGUCACUGCACUACUGAUGGCAAAGGCACGAGUCAUUUAAAAGUUUCACCGACAUGCAGGAAUAUAGUUACAGUCACUACAAAUUCAUAAAUCAACACCUCUUAAUAAAAUUUGAUUUGUUUGUGGCCCAAAAGGCUGUACUGAAUAUCAUGUGGGCUUGAUUCUUUGAUUUACGUUUGAAACAUCCCCAAACCCAUUUUUUUAUGUUGAAGUCAAUAGCUCUCACAUGGAUGUUAUACAUGUAAUAAUGGUUUUUACUUGUUUGUUCAGUAGGUUGGCCUGAGGAAAUUUAUCAGUGGACAAUGUUUUGUUUUGUUGUUGAAUGUUUUGAAAGCCAAGAUAUUUCAAUACCAGCAAUUUGAGUGUUGAAACCUCAUAAACCUCAGCCUGUACAAACUCAAAGAAGAUAGUUAUAAUUCUAGUAGAUAUCCUCAAGUGGGGCUUAAUCACUUGAUUUUUCGAAAGGAAAUUAAGGUUUUAUUUAUAACUUUUGUGUGAAAGUAUGUGUUGUGGAUCCUAAGGUGUGGCAACAAUCGCUCCAGGGUGUCGGGUCAGGACACUAGAGUUGUGUUCAGGUGAGAGUGCAGAUGAAAGAUGGAGGCGAAAGCAGUUGUAGAGUUCAGACUAUUUAUCUAGAUGCAGUCCAGCAUGCCAAAUACAAGGUCAUCACAUUUUCAGGUACAAUCUGAAGGAAGGGGGCUCAAAGUCCCGGUAUAAUCCAAAGGAAGGGAGUCUUGAUGUUCUAACUGAGUCUGAAGAGGAUUCACCGCCUAUUUAUACAGAUCCUUUGAUCUUAGGAGUGGGUUUUUUCUAGAUCACAGGAGGGUGAAUGUCUGUGAUUUUUUGAUCUUAGGAGUGGGUUUGUUCUAGAUCACAGGAGGGUGAAUGUCUGUGAUUUUUUGAUCUUAGGAGUGGGUUUGUUCUAGAUCACAGGAGGGUGAAUGCCUCUGAUACUUUGUUGGUUACAUCAACGGAAUUGCUACUUAACGACUAAAGAGAACAGGAGUGAACGCUCAUAAACACCUAAAUCUGACAAGUAAAAUGCAUAACUCGGAAAUACUAUAACAUCUAAAGAACAGAACAGUACAUAGUGGUAUGGCCUUUUUUAUAACUUUUUUAGCAUUUAAUAAGACAGACAGUUAAUGAAUUAACUGGGAAUAUUAUUGACAGGAAAAGCCCUACUGCCCUGCUUCAAGCAACUGGAUCCUGAAGUCUAGUCAAGUCAAGUAGACUUGAUUGUUGGCUGGCUUGUUGGCUUGAGCCAGAGCCUAUGCAGUAGUGACCAUGGAGUGGAGCCAAAAUGACAUGCACUCCACCAGACUUGAGUCAGUCUCGGCUGUCAAUCAAGACAUUUCAACCUAUUUUUAUAGCAUUAAAUAACUGAUUAAAAUCAAAUUACCGGAAAAAGGAACACUUGAACAUCAGUGUGAUAGGAACUACAUUCAAAUGACAGAAACCAUCUUUGAGAAAAAUGUAUUUAAUGUGUACUUUGACAGUUAAGUUUGGUCAAUUUCCCACGCUAACUUGGAGGAGACCGCGCUUACUACCUAUGCUGCCACCAGCAACCAGGGUUCAAUCCAGGUGUUAUGUCAUCCAUCUUAAUCAUAGACUGUAUAUAAAAAUAGAUGUAGUCGCCAGGUCCUGAAAGGAGCUAUGGUUGCAGCCAUGUUGUAGGGCCACAAUGUGAUAAGAGAUCGCAACAUAAUUGGUUGCAGAGAAGAUUGUUAUUUCCGAUUCCUCUGACAGUUGAACAUAUUUAAAAUGUGAGAGAAGAAGAGGUACCUAAGUCGAUGCUAUGAAGUUAUAGCAAUUCUUUUUUAAACCAAUAUAUUCUUCAGGUCAUAAAACAAUUGUCGCUUGAUGUUCACUUUAGUCUGCACCAAGAAUGAACCCCUAAAUAUGACCCUAACUCUAACCUGAUUAAAGUUAAUUGUCCGUCAUCUUUAUAAUUUCAGGAGGAUUGUGACCAUUCGGAUGCACAAGUGGUGAUUCAAUGGUUGACCUCAGUCAGGACCACCCACCGCUCCUCCAAAUAUGGUUACUUCUAGUUUAAAAAAAACAGGAUGGCGCUGGCCAAAAUGCCAAACUCGACGCUGCCAUUCUAUAUUCAGUCUAUGAUACAAAUGUGCCUUCUGUGGGUUGCCUUUGUCUUGCCUUAUAGUUAACAAAUCAGAUCAGGUUCAAACUCUCCCAUACAGUGCAUAUCUUCAUUUUUCUCUCUCUCCUUAUUAGUGAGGAAUAUGUCUAAUAGACCAGGGAAAAGGGAUGUGGAACUGGAUAAUUCACAGCAGCUGUCCUAAUUCAGGGGCCGUCUCCUUCGAAGGACGUAGACCCCGAGGACCAAACCAAAAUGAGACUAUUGGCGGAUUUCCCAUCUACCGUCACCAGAGUGUUCUGCCCUUACCGCUGUCGCCUUCUACUAGUCAGCUGCAUUGUUCCACAGAAGUAGAAAGCUGAGAAGGGAUGGAGCCGGAAACUUUGGGCUAGAUUUCUCCUUUUAGAUUCCCUCAGUGGUUGAGGGUAUUGGAACUGGGAUGAGAAAAGACAAAUAUGGUCCUUGAGCGACAGUCACAUCCUGUUGCGUUCGAACGUCACACUGCCCUCAUCUCAUUGUGCAACUCAGCAUUAGAAGAUAUUUUGUUGUUGUUUAUUCCUACCAGGGCAUGAAACGGUAAGCAUUAUCUGCUGAAAUAUAGCACAACUCUGAGUGGUAUGUUUGCUUUCUUCUUUACCUUUAACCUUUAUCUGAGCUCUUACUGACAUUAAAAAUAGGAUAUGUCCUCUGUG